AUGGAACCCAUCACCAUCAUCGCCAUCAUCGCCAUCAUCGCCAUCAUCUCCAUCCAGCAGGAUCCCAGUAUCCAGCAGCUGCAGAGCAUGAAAGAUUCAGAGAUGGUGGCUCCAGGAGGGACAGUUGCUUUGUCAUGUAGCUACGGUGCUGGACCCAUCACUGACAAUAACUACCCCGAGUGGAUCCAGCAGAAGUCAGAACAGGUUCCACGGCUUCUAAUAUAUAGCACCAGCAGCAGGGCAAAAGGAAUCCCAGCCCGCUUCUCUGGUUCCAGGUCAGCAAACACCAUGUCCCUGACCAUCACGGGAGCCCUGAUGGAAGAUGAUGCUACUUAUUACUGUGCAGUUUGGACAGGCAAGGGGUUGCACAGCUGUUCAUCAGGAUGGAGAAAUGAGAUAAAACCUCACAGCAGGAACUGA